GAGGCAUCAGGCUCCUCUCGUGUGGAAUCAUCCUCCAGUUUGGGUCCAGGGAGACAUCCUCUCGACAUUUCAAAAGAAACUCAACCAGAGUGUCGGAUGCCAGCUCUCCAUCGUACUCAAUGAUCUCAUCGUCGGCAAAGAUGUAGAUGCUCUCUACCUCGUCCAGACCUGGUGAGAGAAAAGCGUUUCAACCAACAAGCUACUUAAUGUUUAGCUGUUGUCAUGCCACCUUUGUACCAUUUUUAUACAUACUGUUUGCCAAAUUGCUAUGGUAGAGAACUGAUUUGAAAGCACAGUUGCCAAUUAUUAUCAAUUUUAGCUGUUAAUAUGUCUAAAAUCACUAUAACUGCUGCAUGCUUGCUGCACUAUCUUGCAAUGUUGCAUACAAUCUACAUACCUUACAUACAUUUACCAGCUCAUUUAACCCGUUGCCAAUAUUAGCUACCACUGGUGUCCACAAAGUAACAAUGGCAUUUUCUUUAAGGUGUUGUAUGGCACCGCAACCGUGUGUGUGUGUCUACAGGUCUGCUAUAGUAUCAUGUACAAAAGACACCGAAUUUUGUUGAUAAUAAUAUCAUAUAAAAGUUACCAGAAUUACACAUUAAUAAGAGUGAAUUCUUGCAAAGAUACUUAUAGAGUCACAGGGCUUUCUAUUUCUGGUGUUUGCCUAAAAUAACUACUUUUCAUUUGUCUGCAUCUCUUUCUCAUGCUUAUGUCUAUCCCUCCACAUGAACUGUACCUUCGUAUCAUAUCUUCUCACAGACCCCCUAAUGAAGCUUUAUUUGUGCCUUGUUCUCAUUUUACUCUGUGAACACAAUGACUAGGCGACUGAAUAGGCGAUUUUCUGUCUGCUCUGAACCAUAUUUUUUAACUAAACGAUAACUUUGUGAAUGAGAGUUACUCAUGUUGACCAUUUUAUUCUGAGACAUUGUUUCAAACCUAAAAAGUGUUAAAAGAAAUUUAAGGUUUUUAUGUUAAUAUAAGAGCAGUUAAAACAGACCGUUCAAAUUUGACUCUAAACACUUAAAUAAGGGGGGAGCAACGAACACUGGAGAAGGGUUAAGUGUUUUAUUAAAAAAAAGAACUGGAGUACAAGCAUAUAAGCAUAAAUACAUCAAUUUGUUGUUAUUUUGUUUGUUCACUUGACUUGUAGGUUUUAGUUUUUUCUCCACACUUACAGUUUACAGCAGCUGUGAUAUAUUUGUUCAACACUUGAGGGCAGUAUAGUUUGAUGUGUUCUCUGUACUCAGCCUCAGACACUGACCCUAUGCUGCACUACACUUUUUUGUCAUUUAUUAUAACUCAUCAAUAACACUUGAUUAUUGGAUUUCAAUUCUGUGCAUCUUUUGUUCGGUCAGUUAUGUAUUAUUAGUAGCUAUGGUAGGUUUAAGUCAAUCAAAAAGCCUUUCUAAAGCAAGCCCCAAAUGCUACUCUAAAUGAACUGAUUGAAGCCCUUUUCUUUUUUUCUUUUAUUUUGUAUCUUUGAUGACUAAAUGGCUAAAUGAAAUACAAACCUGAUCAAAACUCAUCAGGUGCAAAAUGCAAAACACAUUUCUUUUUUUACCAAUUGCAAUCAAGAUUGUACCAUAAACCCUGUUCUUAUAAAAAAAAAAAAAAAUCAGAUAAAAAUGGAAUAAAGAAUAAUUGUAAAACC